rnacentral:lncRNA from 1 species
AGGGUUUGAGGGUCUGUUUGAGUUGGGUGAAGAAGGCGGGAAGUUAAUCCUCUUCCAAUCAGCUCCCCAUCUCGCCCUCUGGCGGCUCCGGACCACAGGCCGAGUUACUCUGAUUACCGCCAUGCUCCAAGACCCGCACUGACAGUCCCCACGUGAGGGACCGCGGUGGGAGUCCUAAAUGGGGGAGGAGGGGACGGGCGGCACUGUGCAUCUGCUGUGCCUCGCGGCCUCCAGCGGGGUCCCCCUAUUCUGCAGGAGCAGUCGCGGCGGCGCCCCCGCCCGUCAGCAGAAUCUGGAGGUGCAGCUGAGCUCUGCGAGGACCGAGAACACGACUGUGGUGUGGAAAAGCUUCCAUGACAGGUCCCCAGGAGGGAACGUGGGACAGGGACAGGGCCUGGGUGAUAGUCCCUGUUGAAGAUGACCCCGGAGGCCUUCCAGCUCUCUAAAAGCAGCUGUUAAUUUGGCUAUGGGAUCUUUAGCAAGCCAGUUACCCUCUUUGAUCCCUGAUGUUCUCUAUAAGAAAGGCAGCAUCACCCUCAUUGUUCUGUCAUCUGAGGUGGGCAUCUCUGAGCUGAGGCUGGAGA